CAGUCGAACGAUGAACCACUUCGGUGGGGAUUAGUGGCGAACGGGUGAGUAACACGUGGGCAAUCUGCCCUGCACUCUGGGACAAGCCCUGGAAACGGGGUCUAAUACCGGAUACUGACCUUCACAGGCAUCUGUGAUGGUCGAAAGCUCCGGCGGUGCAGGAUGAGCCCGCGGCCUAUCAGCUUGUUGGUGAGGUAGUGGCUCACCAAGGCGACGACGGGUAGCCGGCCUGAGAGGGCGACCGGCCACACUGGGACUGAGACACGGCCCAGACUCCUACGGGAGGCAGCAGUGGGGAAUAUUGCACAAUGGGCGAAAGCCUGAUGCAGCGACGCCGCGUGAGGGAUGACGGCCUUCGGGUUGUAAACCUCUUUCAGCAGGGAAGAAGCGAAAGUGACGGUACCUGCAGAAGAAGCGCCGGCUAACUACGUGCCAGCAGCCGCGGUAAUACGUAGGGCGCGAGCGUUGUCCGGAAUUAUUGGGCGUAAAGAGCUCGUAGGCGGCUUGUCACGUCGGUUGUGAAAGCCCGGGGCUUAACCCCGGGUCUGCAGUCGAUACGGGCAGGCUAGAGUUCGGUAGGGGAGAUCGGAAUUCCUGGUGUAGCGGUGAAAUGCGCAGAUAUCAGGAGGAACACCGGUGGCGAAGGCGGAUCUCUGGGCCGAUACUGACGCUGAGGAGCGAAAGCGUGGGGAGCGAACAG
rnacentral:rRNA from 1 species